CUUUAAAAGACUAUAAAAUGAGGAGAGGCUCGUCUGUUGAGGUGAGGUGAGCAGGUGAGGGUGAUGGAUGGUCGAAGAGUGAGGGUGAGGGCGUCGCCCACUAGGUACCGGUGCCGCGAGGCGGAGGGCAGAGAGGAGAGGAGGGCGCGGCGGGGAUGGUGGCGGCGAGCGCGAUGGUAGGCCCCCUAGCCUGUCCUAGCAAGUGAGUGUCCCAGCGGCGCGUCGGACUGCUGUGGUGGCGGUGGUGGAGGUGGUGCGGCCGAGGCGGGCGGCCCAAGUGCGGAGGCCAAGGGUUCGCCAAACUCCAGUUCGGGCCGGUCAGUUUGUUGUAGCGACCGCGGCGGGAGCGGAACGGGAAGGCGGAGCCGUGGCCCCAGAAGCAGGAUCCUAUACCUCACUGUGAACAACUACGAUUGCUCUAUAGUGGCCUAGUUAUACGAAACCUAAAGGUUCCAGUCUUCCACUUUCUUUGCAGCUUCCACCCCGUCACGGGAGCUGGACGAUUCGGAUAACUUUAUAUGCUCAAACUUCCUACAGGUAAAACAGCUUUCCAGUCUCUCUACCAUAGGCAGGACCUGGAACUACAAAAUAUAAUGGGAACAGGAUUUCCGUCGGGUUGGAAGGCAGGUUUCUAAGAACUCUACCCGCCUUUCUUUGUUAAAGGAAUGUAACAGCUAGGUUUGUGUCCUCAACGAUACAUACUUAGUCUACUGUAGUAUUUAAUGGACCGUUUUUGAAUGCCACUACCUUCACAAGGUUAAUACGAUUUUGAACCAGAUAACUGUUGUUAUUGCCGUCCCGAACGUAACUCACCCGCAUCGCCCUUCCCUAGAAGGAUGUCAGGACGUUUCGAAGGUAGGGUCGGUUAUCUCUAUACCCGUAUGCUCCCUAGAGGAAAGACAUUUUAUCGCGCACUCUGGGAACAGCUCAACCUCAACGGUGUGAACGAUGUGUCGACACGCGCACCGUCGGGGUUCGCUGUCCUAAAAAAGCUCUUUAUACCAUAAAAGGUCCGCGGAAUAUAGCUCCUAGGAUUGUGCCCCCAUUUCUACAAGCUCUCGCGGCUGUAGCAUCUCAUAGACUCCCGUUGUAUACGACGAACUCUUAGGGACCGUGAUAGAAAAGAGUCAUUUAUAACUCGAGUAUCGGACGGUACAGAGAAGAGUACAUCAUCUAGUGUAAGAAAUGAUCCUUUUACCACGUAGGAUCUAAUAUAUUCCACAUUUAAGAUAAGCGACGUCGACUCUGUCGCAGAUAGAUUCUUUGUGACUUAAACUUCGGCACCUUUUCACUUUAUUUUAGGUCUUUACCUCAGAACAAA
rnacentral:rRNA from 1 species